ACGAGCGCUGGCGGCGCGCUUAACACAUGCAAGUCGAACGGAAAGGCCUGCUUUCCCUUGUGGAUUGCGGGUACUCGAGUGGCGAACGGGUGAGUAACACGUGAGUGAUCUGCCCCCAACUUGGGUAUAAGCCUGGGAAACUGGGUCUAAUUCCCGAUAGGACUGCAGGGUGGUGCCUGUGGUGGAAAACGAUUUUCUAGUGGUUGGGGAUGAGCUCGCGGCCUAUCAGCUUGUUGGUGGGGUAAUGGCCUACCAAGGCGGCGACGGGUAGCCGGCCUGAGAGGGUGGACGGCCACAUUGGGACUGAGAUACGGCCCAGACUCCUACGGGAGGCAGCAGUGGGGAAUAUUGCACAAUGGGCGGAAGCCUGAUGCAGCGACGCCGCGUGGGGGAUGACGGCCUUCGGGUUGUAAACUCCUUUCGACCGCGAGGAAGCCACCUGGUUGGAAGGGUGGUGACGGUAGUGGUAGAAGAAGCACCGGCUAACUACGUG
rnacentral:rRNA from 1 species